UACGUAGGGGGCUAGCGUUGUUCGGAAUUAUUGGGCGUAAAGCGCGCGCAGGUGGUUUGUUAAGUCUGCUGUGAAAGCCCACGGCUCAACCGUGGAGGGUCAUUGGAAACUGGGGAGCUUGAGUGCAGAAGAGGAAAGUGGAAUUCCAAGUGUAGCGGUGAAAUGCGUAGAGAUUUGGAGGAACACCAGUGGCGAAGGCGACUUUCUGGUCUUUAACUGACACUGAGGCGCGAAAGCGUGGGGAGCGAACAGG
rnacentral:rRNA from 1 species